AACCCAUGGUGAGGGCACCUUCUUAGUAAAUCCUUAUAUCUCUCCCAUGCAUCGUAAAGUGUUUCUAAAUCCAUCUACACAAAAGAAGAGAUAUCAUUACGUAAUUU
rnacentral:snoRNA from 2 species